rnacentral:rRNA from 1 species
CAGUCGCCACGGUAAUACGGAGGGAGCUAGCGUUGUUCGGAAUUACUGGGCGUAGAGCGCGCGUAGGCGGUUACUCAAGUCAGAGGUGAAAGCCCGGGGCUCAACCCCGGAACUGCCUUUGAAACUAGGUAACUAGAAUCUUGGAGAGGUCAGUGGAACUGCGAGUGUAGAGGUGAAAUUCGUAGAUAUUCGCAAGAACACCAGUGGCGAAGGCGGCUCACUGGCCCAUAACUGACGCUGAGGCACGAAAGCGUGGGGAGCAAACAGGAUUAGAUACCCCGGUAGUCCCUGUCUCUUAUAC